rnacentral:rRNA from 1 species
GACAGAGGAUGCAAGCGUUAUCCGGAAUGAUUGGGCGUAAAGCGUCUGUAGGUGGCUUUUUAAGUCCGCCGUCAAAUCCCAGGGCUCAACCCUGGACAGGCGGUGGAAACUACCAAGCUGGAGUACGGUAGGGGCAGAGGGAAUUUCCGGUGUAGUGGUGAAAUGCGUAGAGAUCGGCAGGAACACCCAGGGGGAAACCAGUCGACUGGGCAUCUACUGACGCUGAGGUGCGAGAGCGUGGGGAGCGAACCGG